GUCAUUGUACUGCCAGACUCUUCUUCCGUGCCUCUCGCAAAACUUGCUCCUUUCUUCUGACCUUUACACUAGUUCUUUAUUUCAGGUUUGAUUCCCAGAUGAGAGAAAAAUGCAAAGCCUUCUCUGUCUCAAUGCUUCCAUCUUCAGAAAGAACCAUGUAUUUUACAUCAGCUCAGAAACUCUCAAGGAAGAAGUAUUUUCAAGGAAUGACUGGAAUUACAAUGUGAUGGGUCAUGGUACCCAAUAAGACUUGGACAGUAGCUAGUUCUUGUAGCCAAAGCUGAUAAAUGCUGUCCACUGAGUGGUUACUCAACAAUAUAGGACUUUCUGUUCAGAGGGAAAACUGUGUAUUGUGGUCAGAGGGUUGUGACAACCUCUACUCAUCAGUGACAAAAAGGAACACUCAAAGCAUUGUAAACUCAGAUUAAAAAGUAUAUGAUUUGAGCAUUA